rnacentral:tRNA from 1 species
GUUAAAUUAAGUAAGAAGCAAAUUAAUUGUAAUCAGUUUCGACCUGAUAGGAAGAUCCUUAU